rnacentral:rRNA from 1 species
UACAGAGGGGGCAAGCGUUGUUCGGAAUUACUGGGCGUAAAGGGCGCGUAGGCGGCCUGCUAAGUCGAACGUGAAAUCCCCGGGCUCAACCCGGGAACUGCGUCCGAUACUGGCAGGCUUGAAUUCGGGAGAGGGAUGCGGAAUUCCAGGUGUAGCGGUGAAAUGCGCAGAUAUCAGGAGGAACACCGGUGGCGAAGGCGGGUCUCUGGGCCGAUACUGACGCUGAGGAGCGAAAGCGUGGGGAGCGAACAGG